rnacentral:piRNA from 1 species
UUCAUAGGCAUAAUUCUUAUUGGGGGUCC